UUGGCCGGUGCUUCUUCUGUACCUACCGUCACUUGCGCUUCGUCGGUACUGAAAGAGGUUUACAACCCGAAGGCCGCCAUCCCUCACGCGGCGUUGCUGGAUCAGGCUUCCGCCCAUUGUCCAAUAUUCCCCA
rnacentral:rRNA from 1 species